AGAGUUUGAUUAUGGCUCAGGAUGAACGCUAGCUACAGGCUUAACACAUGCAAGUCGAGGGGCAGCAUUGGAGUAGCAAUACUUCAGAUGGCGACCGGCGCACGGGUGAGUAACACGUAUCCAACCUGCCGCUUACUCGGGGAUAGCCUUUCGAAAGAAAGAUUAAUACCCGAUGGUAUAAAGAGUUCGCAUGUUCUCUUUAUUAAAGAAUUUCGGUAAGCGAUGGGGAUGCGUUCCAUUAGAUAGUUGGCGGGGUAACGGCCCACCAAGUCUACGAUGGAUAGGGUUCUGAGAGGAAGGUCCCCCACAUUGGAACUGAGACACGGUCCAAACUCCUACGGGAGGCAGCAGUGAGGAAUAUUGGUCAAUGGACGAGAGUCUGAACCAGCCAAGUAGCGUGAAGGAUGACUGCCCUAUGGGUUGUAAACUUCUUUUAUAAGGGAAUAAAGUGAGGGACGUGUCCCUUUUUGUAUGUACCUUAUGAAUAAGGAUCGGCUAACUCCGUGCCAGCAGCAGC
rnacentral:rRNA from 1 species